GUGCUUACUUUGGCAGCACAUAUACUAAAAUUGGAAUGAUACAGAGAAGAUUAGCAUGGCCCCUGCUCAAAGAUAACACACAAAUUUGUAAAGACUAGUUUAAACUU
rnacentral:snRNA from 1 species